AGCACCUGUGUGUGUGUUUAUUUUGACUCGUCGACAGAAACUUUGAGACAGGUGCGAAAACUAAAUCCUCUUUUGCAAUUCAGAACUCAUUAUUUGGUAUGAGUUCUGAUACAGAUGAGAAGGAACAUA